UACGUAGGGUGCGAGCGUUGUCCGGAAUUAUUGGGCGUAAAGAGCUCGUAGGCGGCUUGUCGCGUCGGCUGUGAAAACUCGGGGCUCAACCCCGAGCCUGCAGUCGAUACGGGCAGGCUGGAGUCCGGCCGGGGAGACUGGAAUUCCUGGUGUAGCGGUGAAAUGCGCAGAUAUCAGGAGGAACACCGGUGGCGAAGGCGGGUCUCUGGGCCGGAACUGACGCUAAGGAGCGAAAGCGUGGGGAGCGAACAGG
rnacentral:rRNA from 1 species